UGUUUUUGUUAUUUUUGAUAUAUUUUUGUAAUAAUUCAUCCAUGCACUACCGCACCUUCUCCAUGAAUGGGGGAGAAAUAAAACAAAGCACCCGGUGAAGAACUCCUGAGUCCAUGUCUCCUCCUUCCACCAUGGGGCUAAACCUUACAGCUAUAUUAAGUUGAACGCAUCAUUGUGUAAAAUGCGCAAACAAAUAUUUUUUCCCGGGAGAGUUGCAGUUACAUUUCGCAAGGGACCUCUGGGGUAUCUUUGUCAGGAACUAAUUCUGCAAAAGUCAUUAAAGACAAUCCAUCUCUCCAGGACAAGUCUGCACCUGUAAAGGAGGAGCUGGUCAGGCAAAAUGCACUCAGUGUUGUCCGUCAGAGAGAUGGGGAUGCCUCAGAUAAAUCUGAGGUGGCUGGAGAAUACAUCCUGCGGUUUGGGAAAUACAAGGGGAAGUCCUUCCGCUGGCUUCUUGAAAAUGAUAUAGGGUAUAGGGUAUACCAUCUACCUAAUCAGGAACAAGGUAAAGGAGGAGGCUGCAGGAGUGUUUAUAGCAGAGGGGCACAGCAAGGACAGCCUACUGUCAUCGUGCCAACAACACCUGGCGAGAGAUUUGGGACAGCAGGGAUGAUGGCUUUAUACUGAAAAAAAUGCUGUGCUUCAGGGACAAGGACGCACAAGCUACAGCAAUACCUGAAGAAGAAGCUGCCCUCACCACCCUCUGGCUCUUCUCUGAUGACACAUACGUCAAAUGCUCCUGCUGAAGCCAUGGUGAUGGAUGAAGAUGAAGAGCUGGAGAGAGUGAUGCUGAGCAUUUCUCCUACCAAGCAACAUGAGCAAAGCUCUGUUUCUGCACCAGCAUCAUCAACUGCCAGACCACCACAGGCUUCUGGAACAGAUAGAGGUUCUUAACCAAAACGUCCUGCAUCAGCAGACAACUCUGGGACCAUGAAUUCUUAUCCCAAUAUGAAGCAUGACUUAAAGCUUUUCAUCUCACGUUGACCAUGUUCUGGUCAUGUUUGUGUUUUGGUGUUCUACCUAUUGUCCUAGUGACUGUGAAUUGAAACCAGUCAUGAUGAGGCCCUGCCAACUGUAAGGAGACCUGUGCCCCUUCCUCAGGAGCUGAGGUUUCUGAUGCCAAAAACAGCAGGUCCUCAGCCAACAGAGACAACUGUAACAGUUCCAGAUACUGUUCCACAGUUUCCAAGGGGAGUACGACUACCAGUGUGCCAGUUGUUACCAUGCCUGCUGCAGUUGUUAAUCCACCACCAGCAGUGCAGACUCUGGCCACACUUCUAACUCAAGACUCUAUUGAGAAAAUAGUUAAAAACAUAAUGGACAAGCAGCAGCAACAACAGCCGGAACAAAAAAGGCACAGACAAAAACAUGUCUUUCCUGUGGCUUUUAUAAGUCAGAAAAACUGAGGUGGGAGGUCGAAAAGGGAAAA